UACGUAGGGUGCAAGCGUUGUCCGGAAUUAUUGGGCGUAAAGAGCUCGUAGGCGGUCUGUCGCGUCUGCUGUGAAAACUCAGGGCUUAACCCUGAGCUUGCAGUGGGUACGGGCAGACUAGAGUGCGGUAGGGGAGACUGGAAUUCCUGGUGUAGCGGUGAAAUGCGCAGAUAUCAGGAGGAACACCGGUGGGCGAAGGCGGGGUCUCUGGGCCGUAACUGACGC
rnacentral:rRNA from 1 species